GACAGAGGCCUCGAGCGUUAGGCGGAAUCACUGGGCUUAAAGCGUGUGUAGGCGGAUCGUUAAGUGUCUUGUGAAAUCCCACGGCUCACCCGUGGAACUGCUGGGCAUACUGGCGAUCUUGGGCCAACUAGGGGCAGUCGGAACAAGCGGUGGAGCGGUGAAAUGCGUAGAUAUCGCUUGGAACGCCGAAGGUGAAAACAGACUGCUGGGGUUGCGCCGACGCUGAGACACGAAAGCCAGGGGAGCAAACGGG
rnacentral:rRNA from 1 species